CAUUUAUAUUUAUUUCUUUUGCGUUCAUUUUCAAAUUCGCCGUGCAUAUAUUUUUGUGCAUGGCGCUUGAGAGGGCAUCACGUGACUAAAAACGACCAACCAACGACCUCGCUUCGGCCAUCUUGGCAUCUUCAUCUUGGCCACGGAUCGUUGUUUAGUUGUUUGUAUUAUUUGUGCUUUUUAAGAAUAUUUUUUUAAUUCGGAUACUUUCAUAAUAGCUUUAAUAGUAUUAUUAACAUAGUGAAUAAAAUGGUGUCCUGUUUUUAACGCAGUUGGAGUAGCAGAAACAAAUGUUAGAUAAAAAAAUCUGCAGGAAUAACGUUUCAAUUAUGACAGAAGCUCCAAACAAAUGACUGUGAAUGAAAAGCCCUAUUAAAAGCUUUCCAGAAGAUCCUGCGAAGAAGACAUGAAGUAUAGAUCAGAUUUGUUAAUAGAGGAGUACGUUCAAAACACUUUUUAGAAAAGAUAUUGACAGAACUUCACUUUCAUCUGUUCGUUUAAGAGACUGUGCUGUUCCAAUAGCUUAUGUCACACAGAAUCAGCUGAGAGAAGUGGUCUACAAAAAACCAGAAAGGAAACGGAAUAUGUGGCUACGAAAAGCAAAAGAAAGGUUUACAAAGCAAAUGUGACACAUUUUUUUAUAAUAUUUAGGAAUGUCAGUAAAUUACAUUAAAAAAUGUAUGUAAAGAUUUUUUGCAAUAAAAAUGUUUAUAUUUCUCAA